rnacentral:rRNA from 1 species
AGGGUGCAAGCGUUGUCCGGAAUCACUGGGCGUAAAGGGCGCGUAGGCGGCUCAUGAAGGCUGUGGGGAAAGUCCGGGGCUCAACCUCGGAUCGGCCGUGGCGACUCGUGGGCUGGAGCACUGUAGAGGCGGGUGGAAUUCCGGGUGUAGCGGUGGAAUGCGUAGAGAUCCGGAAGAACACCGGUGGCGAAGGCGGUCUGCUGGGCAGUUGCUGACACUGAGGCGCGACAGCGUGGGGAGCAAACAGG